rnacentral:rRNA from 1 species
UGGGGAAUAUUGGGCAAUGGGGGAAACCCUGACCCAGCGACGCCGCGUGAGGGAAGACGGUCUUCGGAUUGUAAACCUCUUUCAGCAGGGAAGAAGAAAGUGACGGUACCUGCAGAAGAAGCCACGGCUAACUACGUGCCAGCAGCCGCGGUAAUACGUAGGUGGCAAGCGUUAUCCGGAAUUAUUGGGUGUAAAGGGUGUGUAGGCGGGAUUGUAAGUCAGAUGUGAAAAUUAUGGGCUCAACCCAUAAAUUGCAUUUGAAACUGCAGUUCUUGAGUGUGGGAGAGGUAAAUGGAAUUCCCGGUGUAGCGGUGGAAUGCGUAGAUAUCGGGAGGAACACCAGUGGCGAAGGCGAUUUACUGGACCACAACUGACGCUGAGACACGAAAGCGUGGGGAGCAAACAGG